GAAGUGAGAAUGCCGGUAUGAGUAGCGAAAAGAAAGGUGAGAAUCCUUUCCACCGAAAGCCUAAGGGUUCCUGGGCAACGAUCGUCGACCCAGGGUAAGUCGGGACCUAAUCCGAGGCGAAGACGCAUAGGAGAUGGACAACAGGUUGAAAUUCCUGUACCGACGUCGUCUGUUUGAGCGAUGGAGUGACACAAGAAGGAAAGUUCGCAUGCGAUUGGAAGAGCAUGUCUAAGCAGGUAGGUUGAAUACCAGGCAAAUCCGGUAUUCUAAAAGCCGAGAAGUGAUAGGGAGCCUGUAGAAAUACAGGUGAAGGAACCGGGACUCGAUUGUCAAGAAAAGCUUCUAGUGAGGACGACGCCGCCCGUACCAAAACCGACACAGGUAGGCAAGAAGAGAAUUCUAAGGUGCGCGGGAAAACCCUCGUUAAGGAACUCGGCAAAAUGUAUCCGUAACUUCGGGAAAAGGAUAACCCAGAGUACGUGAAGGAAAGAAACAUCCGGAGCGGGAAUGGGUGGCACAAGAGAGGCCCAAGCGACUGUUUACCACAAACACAGGCGUCUGCUAAAGAGAAAUCUGAUGUAUAGAUGCUGACACCUGCCCGGUGCUGGAAGGUUAAGAGGACGUGUUAGCCGUAAGGCGAAGCAGAGAAUUGAAGCCCCAGUAAACGGCGGCCGUAACUAUAACGGUCCUAAGGUAGCGAAAUUCCUUGUCGGGUAAGUUCCGACCCGCACGAAAGGUGUAACGACUUGCGCACUGUCUCAACGAGGGACCCGGUGAAAUUGAAGUACCUGUGAAGAUGCAGGUUACCCGCGACUGGACAGAAAGACCCCAUGGAGCUUUACUGUAACCUGAGAUUGAAUUUUGGUAGAAGAUGUACAGGAUAGUUGGGAGACGUAGAAGCGCGCACGCCAGUGUACGCAGAGUCGAUGGUGGGAUACCAACCUUGUUUUAUUGAAAUUCUAACGAGAGCCGUAACGAGGCUGCGGACAGUCUCAGGCGGGCAGUUUGACUGGGGCGGUCGCCUCCGAAAGAGCAACGGAGGCGCCCAAAGGUUCCCUCAGCGCGGACGGAAACCGCGCGAAGAGUGUAAAGGCAGAAGGGAGCUUGACUGCGAGACGGACAGGUCGAGCAGGGACGAAAGUCGGGCUUAGUGAUCCGGUGGUGCCGAGUGGAAGGGCCAUCGCUCAACGGAUAAAAGCUACCCUGGGGAUAACAGGCUAAUCUCUCCCAAGAGUCCAUAUCGACGGGGAGGUUUGGCACCUCGAUGUCGGCUCAUCACAUCCUGGGGCUGUAGUAGGUCCCAAGGGUUGGGCUGUUCGCCCAUUAAAGUGGUACGCGAGCUGGGUUCAGAACGUCGUGAGACAGUUCGGUCCCUAUCCAUCGCGGGCGCAAGAAACUUGAAGGGGGCUGCUCCUAGUACGAGAGGACCGGAGUGGACGAACCGCUGGUGUACCAAUUAUCCUGCCAAGGGUACAGUUGGGUAGCUACGUUCGGGACGGAUAAACGCUGAAAGCAUCUAAGCGUGAAACCAGCCUAAAGAUGAGGUUUCUCAUUGCGUAAGCAAGUAAGGCCCCAUGAAGACGACAUGGUUGAUAGGCCGGGAGUGGAAGUGCAGCAAUGCAUGGAGCGGACCGGUACUAAUAGGCCGAGGACUUAUCUUA
rnacentral:rRNA from 1 species